AUCCUUUUGUAGUUCAUAAGCGUGAUGACUGGGCUUUCAUGCUCAUGCAUGAGAUGGGCCUCCCUUCAGUCUUGUUACAGGCCGGCUCUGUGGCUCAUGCCUGUAAUC
ensembl:snoRNA